rnacentral:rRNA from 1 species
GGCCGCAGUAUUUUAACUGUGCAAAGGUAGCAUAAUCAUUAGUCUUUUAAUUGAAGGCUAGUAUGAAUGGUUGGACGAAAUAUUAACUGUUUCAGGAAUAUUUUUAGUAGAAUUUUAUUUUUUAGUUAAAAAGCUAAAAUUUAUUUAAAAGACGAGAAGACCCUAUAAAUCUUUAUAUUUUAUUUAUUAUAUUUUUAUUGAUUUUUUUUAAUAUAAUAAUGAGGAAUAUUUUAUUGGGGUGAUAUUAAAAUUUAAUAAACUUUUAAUAUAUUUUUCAUUAAUAUAUGAAUAAAUGAUCCUUUAUUAUAGAUUAAAAAUUUAAGUUACUUUAGGGAUAACAGCGUAAUUUUUUUGGAGAGUUCUUAUCGAUAAAAAAGAUUGCGACCUCGAUGUUGGAUU